CGCUAUGCGUUGUAAACUGCUUUUCCAGGGGGUGAAACUCUCGUACGUGUACGGGAUUGACGGUACCCUGGGAAUAAGCAUCGGCUAACUCCGUGCCAGCAGCCGCGGUAAUACGGAGGAUGCGAGCGUUAUCCGGAUUUAUUGGGUUUAAAGGGUGCGUAGGCGGACUGGUAAGUCAGUGGUGAAAACCUGCAGCUUAACUGUAGACUUGCCGUUGAUACUGUCAGUCUUGAGUAUGGUCAAGGUAGGCGGAAUGUGUAAUGUAGCGGUGAAAUGCUUAGAUAUUACACAGAACACCGAUUGCGAAGGCAGCUUGCUGGGCCAUUACUGACGCUGAUGCACGAAAGCGUGGGGAUCGAACAGGAUUAGAUACCCUGGUAGUCCACGCCAUAAACGAUGAUCACUCGCUGUUAGCGAUACACAGUUAGCGGCUAAGCAAAAGCAUUAAGUGAUCCACCUGGGGAGUACGGCCGCAAGGCUG
rnacentral:rRNA from 1 species